rnacentral:other from 1 species
UUCAACCUGCAAUGUACGUGAUGAUGAGUACCAUAUUUGAGGCCAACACUCACUCAACGGGAACUCGCGUUAACAGUGUUGAGGUGAUAAGCUUGCGUAGCCAAGACCAAACCACUUGCAGAGAACCCACCUGCUUAGCAGGUCUCAAAAUUCCCCAUCACACGGCAGGGCAGGUCGGAC